AGCAGGUUGUUGCUGGUGCCUUGCGCAUGUGCACGCUUGUUUCUUCUUUAUUUCUCCAACUGUGCACGAAUGGUAGAUCUUUUUUUGGGUCUAUGUUUUUCACAAUCUCUGAAUGUAUUAGAAUGGCUUUGAAUCUGGGGAAUAUAUAUACAACUUUCAGCAACGGAUCUCUUGGCUCUCGCAUCGAUGAAGAACGCAGCGAAAUGCGAUAAGUAAUGUGAAUUGCAGAAUUCAGUGAAUCAUCGAAUCUUUGAACGCAUCUUGCGCUCCUUGGUAUUCCGAGGAGCAUGCCUGUUUGAGUGUCAUUUAAAACUUCUCAACCGCAUUUUUUUUUGGUGUGGCUUGGAAAUGGAGGAGUGCAGGCUUCUUUUGAAGCCUGCUCCUCUGAAAUGUAUUAGCGGUGUCUGGACAGACUACCACAGGUGUGAUAACUAUCAAUGCCUUGGUAUAUAUGGCUGGCUGCUUCCAAUCUCUGAUGACCAACUUGACCUCAAAUCAGGUAGGAUUACCCGCUGAACUUAAGCAUAUCAAUAAGCGGAGGCAAAAGAAACUAACAAGGAUUCCCCUAGUAACUGCGAGUGAAGCGGGAAAAGCUCAAAUUUGAAAUCUGGCAGUUGUUGACUGUCCGAGUUGUAAUCUAGAGAAGUGUUACCUGUC
rnacentral:rRNA from 1 species